CCCAUGUUCUCACCAUCUCCUCACCCCUACCAGUUAAGUAGCUCUACCGUCCCCAGAGCAGACCAGAUCUGGAAGGAGGCUGGAAAUGAUACCUGAUGCUGAGCAGUUUUUCUCCACUCCACAGCGGUGCCACAGCCGUCGUCUGCAGUGUAAAGAGCUGUAGUAAAGGAGCAGAGAAAAGCCUUGAGGGGUCCAGGAGGGGCACAGCUUCUCCUCCAGGGGGGCCUUGGUGAAGGGCCUUGUCUGGCCCUUCUUCUCUUUGAUGGAUCAGGCUCCUUCUGGCACCCGAAUGCCGCCCACCUGUUUCAGGUCUUGGGAAAUGGCAGGGGAGGUGACGCCCUGAGCUACCUGCCUCUGGGGAGCCUGUUGCACGCAGGGUGCAUGUGCGCUCCCAUGUUGCAGGCUGACUGGCUGACUCCAUCUAAUCUGUCCAGGUCAACUGUACAGGAGGUGAGAACAACAGCCAGCUCAGCAGCAACACCAUCAAAAGACAAACCUGAUCCCUUACUCCCAGGUGACUUUGGACAAGUGGCUCUUUAUGCCUCCAUUUCCUCAUCUGUAAAACAGGAAUGAUAACACGUCUCUACCAUGUUUAUGAUGUAUAUAAAGCAUUUAGACCUCAGCACACAAAAAUAAAGUUUAGCUUUUCCUAUUAUACUGUUACUAUUGUCAUGUCAGGGUGCAUUUGAGAUGUUCUACAGAAAGCACCCUCAACAAAACAUGUAAUUAAACAAAAACUGCCAGUAAAAGAAAAAUGAGAAUAAAAGUAAGGCAUGAGGAUUAAGGCAAAUAUAAAUUAGAACUGGAAGGGGAGUCUGUGGUGGGGGGUAGCAGAGGAGGAAGUAAGGAAGUAGAAUUUUAAAAAUCAGAGUAUAAGAUCCUAGUAGUUGUUAUAAUAAGUUGUCAACUUAGUUCUGUGCUUCCUGGCAGCCAAAUGGAAAAAAGGAAAUAACUCAGCCCAUGUGGGGCCACCUUAACUGAACAGUUAGAAUGUAGAAGGAUCUAGCUUUUACCUAGUUUCUUUCCUAAAAGAUCAAAUCACAAAGUUAACAACAUAGGAUUCCUCCCUCUUUUCUCCCACAGACAGUUCCCCUACUAAAUUUCUUGCGGUAUAAUCCUGUCUUCGUGUCUGCUUCUCAGAGUGCCCGGACUAACAUCUUAUCUGAAGAGCUGAUUAGGCUAGAUUUCAAAAAUUGCUCCUGAUAGCUCUGGCAGCUGAAUCUGGACAAUGUUUGAUACCUGAGCUGGAGCUGUUGAGGGGGGUACCUGUAAUGACAUCUUGGGGUGACUUGAGCAUGGUCACAGCAUGGUGGCCUGGGGGUGAUCAGACUUCUUCUUUGGUGGUUCAGGGCUCCCCAGAGAGGAAGCCCCAGUGGAUAAAGAAGAAGGUGCAUUGCCUUUUCUGACCUAGCCUCAGAAGCCAUGCAGCAUCACUUCUGCUGAAUCUGAUGGGUCACAAGUCACAGUUCUGCCCAGGUUCAAGAGAGGAAGUUGGAGAUCCCACCUCUUGAUGGGAGGCAUGUCAAGGCUGCAUCAUAGAAGAGCACAUGAAAUAGAAGAUAUUGUCAGAAAAGACAAUCAGGCCUCUUAGAUAAAGGCUUAUUAUUCAGGGCAAGAGGAUUAUUCAGUUACCUAGUUCUGGGUAACAAAUCAUCCCCAAACCCAGGGAUGAAGAUAGUUUUUAUUCUGAUUACCCCACAUCUUUCAGAGGGCUCAUGGAGUUAGCUAAGAAGUGCUUACCUGGCCUCAUUGUGCCUUUGCAGUGACUGGGCUGGAACCAUCUGGAAAGAAGGUGUCCUUUUGUAUGUAUGUAGUGGGGCGUUCUGACAGCCAGCUGGACCCCUGGACCCUAAGCUGGGGAAAUCAGCUGGAACACCUACAGGUGGCCUCUGCGGGUGGCCUGGGCUUGCUCACCACAUGGUAGCUGGGCUCCGAAAACAAACGUCUCAAAAGUGAACCUGCAGAAACUGUGUCCCCUCUUAAGAUCUAGUCUUGGAGGUCACAGAGCAUCAUUUUCACCUUGUUCUGUUCAUGAGAAGGGAGUCAGUGAAGCCUGCCCAUGUUCAGGGGAAGGGGACCCAGACUCCACCUCUCAGUGGGACAUGUUUUAACCAGAAAGAGUGUUGCGUUUGCCAUUUGCAAGGAGUGCUGAGGUUCAAGGACAGGCAGUGAGAGGUUCCAUGUUUGUGUGCUGACAUACUUUUAGAAGAACUGCGGAGGGCUAAGGAGCUCAGAGUAGCUUCGUGGUCAUCAAAGAUUAUCUUGUUGCAUCCUGAUUUUCCCUUGAAAGGCUGCAAAUGUGUUUGCUUUACUCGUACCCCAAACCCGAGCCACAUGGCUGGUUGGUAGAAGAUGCAGAACUUGAGCACUUGUCUCCUCGCUCUCAUUCUGGGUCUCUUCCCAUUGUGUUGGGAUUAACUGAACUCUAGGCUUCUCUAUUACUUCACCCGCCCAGUCUUUUCCAGAGAAAACACCAGGCUACAUCCUGAUUGGCGCUAAGCUUCACGACUGAUAAUACUAAAUGCUGCUGAAUUUUUUUCUCCCUGUUAUAGCUGGUAGGCCCUUACCACUGACUAGGAACAUAUAUAUUUUUAAAUCUCACAGCAGCUCCUUUGUUGCUAGAUGUUUUCAUUUUGCCUUUCCAUCCCCCAAGUCACACAUGAAGAUAUUUUUCCAAAAACAAAACAAACAAAAAAACCCGAAGGUGAAGAGAGUGAAGUUAAAUCACUGACAUCUGCCACCAGUCUCACUCAGCAUCCUUGUCCCCUGGAUUCUUCUAGAUAGAACUUAAAACUUUUUGUUAUCACUAGUUUUUACUUUUUUUCCUUUCUAGGUGGCAGGGAGGGGACAGUAAUAAGAGAGAAAACAGACAAUUCAGCAGUCCCAUCAAAAGUUUCAUUUCCCACAGUGGUGAUAAUUACUUUCACUUUUCACUCGGUAUUAAAAAAAAAAACAAAAACAGGAGUUCCCGUCGUGGCACAGUGGUUAACGAAUCCGACUAGGAACCAUGAGGUUGCGGGUUCGAUCCCUGUCCUUGCUCAGUGGGUUAACGAUCCGGCGUUGCUGUGAGCUGUGGUGUAGGUUGCAGAUGCGGCUCGGAUCCUGCGUUGCUGUGGCUCUGGCGUAGACUGGUGGCUACAGCUCCGAUUCGACCCCUAGCCUGGGAACCUCCAUAUGCCGCGGGAGCGGCCCAAGAAAUAGCAAAAAGACAAAAAAAAAAAAAAAAAAAAAAAAAA
rnacentral:lncRNA from 1 species